ensembl:lncRNA
AAAUAAAGUGAAUCAUUUUUUACAGUGUAUGUAGAAACAUAUGCUUUCCUGGAUGCAGGAAGUACAGCUACAUUUUGUACUGAUGAACUGCAAAGGAAACUAAACCUGAAAGGGAAGCCAACUCAAAUUCUACUGAGCAUUAUGUAUCAAAAUAAAACAGGAGAGCAGAAGUUAGUAAACAGUUUCAUCCUCACAGACUUGGAAGUGUGUGCACUGGAAGACACAAAGUAUUAUGACCUACCUAAAGUCUUUACACACAGCAGUAUCCCUGUUCAAAAUGAGAACAUUCCCAAGCAAGAACACAUUAAAAAAUGGCCGUACUUAAGUGAAGUAAGCAUACCUAGUAUUGAUGCAAAUGUAGACCUUCUGAUUGGAGUCAACAAUUCAAAAGCAAUGGAGCCAUGGUACAUCAUAAACAGCCAACAGGGUGGACCCUAUGCUGUGAAAACUGCACUGGGUUGGGUGGUGAAUGGACCCAUCAAGAAAGAAAGCAACACUGCAGAAAAGUCCAAACUGCCACAUCAUACAGUUAAUCGUCUCUCGGUGGUGGAGAUAGAGCAAUUGUUGAUUCAACAGUACAACACAGAUUUCCCAGAGCGCCACUAUGAAGAGAAAGAGGAAAUGUCAAUGGAGAACAAACAGUUCAUGCAGUCAGUGCAGGAAAAGACUAAGUUUGAGAAUGGGCAUUACUGUGUAAGACUACCUCUGAGAAAUGAAGCAAUCAAAAUGCCAAAUAAUCGAUUUGUGGCCGAACUGCGUGCUGCUAACCUGAAAAGAAAGCUUCAGAAGAACUCAAGUUUGCUUGAAGAUUACUGUAGCUUCAUGAAAAGUAUAACAGAGAAAGGAUAUGCAGUUAAAGUUCCCCCCGAACAGCUUGUUGGCAAUGACAACAGAGUUUGGUACAUACCACAUCACGGGGUGUACCACCCAAAGAAAAAGAAAAUAAGAGUGGUUUUUGAUUGUACUGCUUCGUUUCAAGGCAUGUCUCUGAACAGCCAAUUGCUACAAGGUCCAAACCUCACAAACACACUCAUUGGUGUCCUUACCAGAUUUAGGGAAGAACCAAUAGCCAUGAUGGCAGAUGUAGAGUCGAUGUUUUAUCAAGUGAGGGUUCCUGAGGAGGAUGCAGAUCUGCUUCAUUUUCUUUGGUGGCCAGAAGGCAAUUUGAAUGCACCUAUAGAAGAAUUUAGGAUGAUGGUGCACUUAUUCAGAGCUGCUUCGUCACCUAGCUGCGCCUCUUAUGCACUGAAAAGGACUGCUGAGGACAGAAAAGAAGUAGCAUCUCCGAAGGCUGUUGAAACAGUUAUACACAAUUUUUACGUUGAUGACUGCUUGAAAUCUGUGUCUACAGAACAAGAAGCCAUUGACUUAGCAAGUGAUGUUCGUAAGUUAUGUGCUGAAGGAGGUUUCUGCUUAACCAAGUGGGUAAGCAAUAGUAGGAAAGUACUGUUGUCUAUUCCAGAAGAACAAAGGGCCAGUGGAAUAAAGGACCUUGACUUGGAUCAGGAUUUUCUGCCAAUCGAGAGAGCACUUGGCAUGCAGUGGUGUACAGAAAAUGACACUUUCACAUAUAAGAUCAAGGUACAAGAGAAGCCAUUCAGUAGGAGAGGUAUUCUUUCGGUUGUUAAUUCAAUUUAUGACCCUCUUGGGUUUCUGGUGCCACUCAUCCUACCAGUUAAGCUCCUUCUGAGAGAUAUGUGCAAACAAGGAUAUGGAUGGGAUGAAGAGAUUGAGGGUAAGCAAGCUGAUCAGUGGGUCAGAUGGCUAGAAGAUCUAAAUCACCUCUCAGACUUUCAGAUCAAAAGGUGUGUAAAACCAGAGAAGUUUGGCAACACAACAGAAGUGCAAUUGCAUCAUUUCUCUGAUGCCAGCGAGAGUGCGUAUGGCACAGCAACUUAUCUGGUGCUUAAAAAUGAACACAAUCAGAAACAUUGUUCCUUGUUAAUGGGAAAGUCAAGAGUUAGCCCACUCAAACAAAUCACAAUCCCUAGACUUGAGCUGACAGCGGCAACCAUAGCCGUCAAAGUAGACAAAAUACUAAGACAAGAGCUUCAAAUUCCACUACAGCAGUCGGUUUUCUGGACGGAUAGCACUACAGUGCUCAGCUACAUUGGCAAUGAGAGUGCACGCUUCAAAACAUUUGUAGCAAACAGGAUCUCACUCAUACGAGAUGCUACUACUUCAUUACAAUGGAGGUUUGUCAAGUCAGCACAAAAUCCUGCAGAUCAAGCUACUAGAGGUCUUAAAGCAAAGGACUUUGUGCAAGAAGAAAAAUGGUUUAAAGGGCCCAACUUUUUGUUGAAACCAGAGGAAGAAUGGCCACAAAGCCGAGAUCAAAUGACUCAAGGUGCACAACAAGACCCUGAAAUCAAAGCUGAAAUCAAAGUCAAUGUUCUUAACAUUAAAGAAGGCAAGGACAUUGUAAGCAAGCUAACUGAUUACUACUCAAGCUGGUUUCGUCUGAAAAAGGCAGUGGCAUGGAUGAUAAGACUAAAAGAAACACUUUUACAAUUAUGUAAAGUAAGAAGACAGUUCCAAGAGUCCAUUGCACAAUCAGAGAAAGACCCGGAAAAGCAAGCAUCCCUUCUACAGGAGCAAAUGCAGAAAUACAGAUCAACGAUGGAGAAAAAGUCAUUGAGCCUGGAAAACCUGAAUCAAGCAGAAAUUCAGCUCAUUCAAUUCAGUCAAAAACAACAAUUUCAGGAUGAAAUUGAGGCUCUGAAAAAGAAUAUUCCUGUUAAGAAAAGAAGUCAGCUGUUCAAGCUUGACCCUGUACUUCAGGAUGGGAUACUAAGAGUGGGAGGUAGGCUCAACAGAGCAGCCAUGCCAGAGGAAUCCAGACAUCCUGCAAUCCUCUCAAAAUGCUCUAAGAUUUCAACUCUCAUUCUAAAUGAUAUUCAUCAAAGAUGUGGACACUGUGGUCGAAACUACAUGCUAUCUACUCUCAGACAAAAAUUCUGGAUCCCCCAAGCCAACUCAGCAAUUCGAAAACUUAUCCAUAAAUGUGCAGUUUGUCGCAGACUUAAUGGAAGAGUUGGUGAGCAAAAAAUGGCAAGCUUGCCAGAAGACCGCUUGCUACCUAAUAAACCCCCUUUUACGAAUGUGGGCGUAGAUUACUUUGGACCCUUCGACAUAAAACGGGGCCGGAGUACUGUAAAAAGGUAUGGAGUGUUGUUCACCUGCCUAACAAUCAGAGCAGUACACAUUGAGAUAGCGGAUAGUUUGAACACUGAUUCAUGCAUAAAUGCUUUGAGGCGCUUUAUAAGUAGAAGAGGACAGGUGUCAGUCAUGCGGUCAGACAAUGGCACAAAUUUUGUUGGCGCAGAAAGAGAAUUGCGAGAGGCACUGAGGAACCUGGACCAUAACAAAAUUGAAAACACCAUGCUACAGAAAGGGAUUAAAUGGAUCUUCAACAGUCCAGCUGCUUCUCAUCAAGGUGGGGUUUGGGAGCAUCAGAUCCGUACUGAAAGAAAGAUACUCUGCGCUCUCUUAAAGGAACAGACUAUUAAUGAUGACAGUCUUCAUACCAUCAUGUGCGAGGUGGAAAGCAUCAUCAACAACAGACCAAUAACUAGUACCUCAGAAGACCCAAAUGACAUUGAGCCUCUGACGCCUAACCAUUUACUGUUGUUGAAAACUCAACCCAGCUUACCACCAGGUGUCUUUAAUAAGGAGGACCAAUAUGUGAGAAAACGUUGGAGGCAAGUCCAAUAUCUCGCUGAUUUGUUCUGGAGCAGAUGGACUCAUGAGUACUUGCCCAUUCUUCAGGAACGCAGUAAAUGGUCAAGAUUAAAAAGGAACUUUGAAACUGGCGAUGUGGUUCUAGUUGUGGACAGUUCUUCCCCCCGCAAUUCAUGGAUAAUGGGAAGAGUAAUUCAAACUAUACCAGACUCCAGUGGAACUGUACGCCGUGUAAAGUUAAAGACCAAAACAAAUGUACUGGAGAGACUUGUAAAUAAAUUGUGCUUAAUUCAAGAGGCAAUUUAAGCAUGAAUACUAACAAAGAACUAUCAAGAGUAAAGAUAACCAAAGACAAUGUGGAAGAACUAAGUAGCUAUUUCUUAUUCAUAAAUGUUCAAGUUUAAGGGCUCUUAGUAUUAAUGUCUAUAAUAAUUGUUUGGUCUCCUGCCCAACCAAUUAGGGGCCGGAUGUGUAAGAGCCAUAUGUUAUUCAUUUUAUUUGUUUUUAUAUAGAUGUUGAAUAAAUAAAUAAUUGUGUGUUAAGCAAUUGUAAAAUAAUUAUAAAAGUAAAUAAUUUAAUAUGUGUAUUAUAUUUAGUAUUGACAAUGAUGUCAUUUCCAGCAAGGACCGUUAGUGUUUUUUGUGAUGCAAUAUGGAAGUGAAACAGUUUUUUGACCGUGUAACAUUUUUCCAGUUAAUUUUGUUAUUAAACUUUACCUAAAGAAAGUUUCUGGACUACGGAAUGUUAUUCGAGUUCAAAUCACGCUUACACAUAAGAAGAAGAAGCAAGAAGAAUGAAAAUUUAAACGGAUUGCUAUCACACCAUCACUUCAACAGCUACAUUGGCUUCCUAUCAACUUUCGGAUUGAAUUUAAAAUUCUCCUCCUCACAUACAAAUCUCUUCAUAACCUUGCUCCACCUUACCUUUCAGACCUCUUACAUCCCUACACCCCUUCUCGAACUCUCCGUUCCUCUUCACUGGGUCUCCUUCAUGCACCUUCAG